rnacentral:rRNA from 1 species
UAACAAGGUUUCCGUAGGUGAACCUGCGGAAGGAUCAUUGUCGAAACCUGCACAGCAGAACAACCCGUGAACAUGUUUUAUAAAACGAGGGGUCCAAAGCUGGGUCCUUCACAAGGCCUCGACCAGGGUAUUAAGGUGUGUAGGCUUGUCCUUCUAUCUUAAAUAUCUUGGUCGUGGCCUGCUAACAAACCCCCGGCGCGGAAUGCGCCAAGGAAUUACAAACAAAAAGCUCGGACACCUCGAUUGCCUCGGAAACGGUGUGCAAAAGGGAUGUGUCGUAGCACUUUGAGAAUCUAAACGACUCUCGGCAACGGAUAUCUCGGCUCUCGCAUCGAUGAAGAACGCAGCGAAAUGCGAUACUUGGUGUGAAUUGCAGGAUCCCGUGAACCAUCGAGUUUUUGAACGCAAGUUGCGCCCGAAGCCUUUUGGCCGAGGGCACGUCUGCCUGGGUGUCACUCAAUCGUCGCUCCGAUCCUUAUUUUUGGAAAGGGGCGGAAGAUGGCCUCCCGUGUGCUAUUCGCAUGUGGUUGGCCUAAAUAUCCGGUCCCUGGCAUCGAUGCCACGGUAAUCGGUGGUUGUAUGACCCUCGCAUAAUGCUGUGAGCAUCGGGUGUUGAUGAGACUAAUGAGGCCCAAAAGCUAUCCUAUGGAUAUGCUCGGAAUGCGACCCCAGGUCAGGCGGGACUACCCGCUGAGUUUAAGCAUAUCA